rnacentral:tRNA from 1 species
CGGAGCGUAGCGCAGCCUGGUUAGCGCACCUGCCUGGGGGGCAGGGGGUCGGAGGUUCAAAUCCUCUCGCUCCGACCA